GACGAACGCUGGCGGCGUGCUUAACACAUGCAAGUCGAACGGAAAGGCCCUGCUUUUGUGGGGUGCUCGAGUGGCGAACGGGUGAGUAACACGUGAGUAACCUGCUCUUGACUUUGGGAUAACUUCAGGAAACUGGGGCUAAUACCGGAUAGCAGCUCCUGCUGCAUGGUGGGGGUUGGAAAGUUUCGGCGGUCGUGGAUGGACGCGCGGGUUAUCAGCUUGCUGGUGGGGGAGUUGCUUACCAAGGCAUUGACGGAUAGCCGGCCCGGGAGCGUGACCGGGGACAAUGCGACUGCGAUAGGGAGCAGUGGCGUACGGGAGGCAGCAGGCGCGAACAUUGCACAAUGGGACGAAGCCUGAUACGGAAACGCCGCGUGUGGGAUGACGGCUUGCGGGUUAUAAACAGCUUUAGCCUGUGACGAAGCGUUAGUGACGGUACUGAGUAAAGAAGCACCGGCUAACUACGUG
rnacentral:rRNA from 1 species